rnacentral:piRNA from 1 species
UCCCAAUAAUAUUAAGAAAAGGAAAAUAGC